CAGGCAGCUGCCGAGCCGACCGACGCGCUGCAGUGGAAAACACGGAGUGGAGCCUCCUCAAAUCCACUUGGCGUCCUCGUUGGAGCCGGAACGGAUUGAAGAUCCAUUCAGACUCGAACUAACGCCUGGAAUUGACAGGUACGAGCCCACUCAACUCAAAUUCGUGUGACGCUGGGUCUCGGCAGCCAGUCGGCGUUGAGAAUACUGUGGACUCCGAAUCGCUGGCGACAUCCCCAAACAAUGGCAGCUGUCACCAUCGUCAUCGCUUGUGGGCAUCUGGCACACCUGCUGAAAAAUGAGCCGGUCUGGGGAAUCACUGAGCAAGGAAAUUGGGGCUUCUGACAGCAAAGUGGUCGCGACUGAAUCAGCACUGCAUCUGAUGAUUGCGGUCAAGAACUGUAUGUGUCACACACAACAGAUGCUUGUCCUCCAUUGGACAGCGAAGGUUUUCCUUGAAGUACUCCCGCUCCCUCCCUCAUUCCAAAAGCCUUCAUGUUGGGUUCUUUAAAGUCUCUCGACAGGGGCCCAUAAAGCAAGCCGACAAACAUUCCAGUGACCUGGGAGUUGUUGAAUGGUGACAGUCUGGGGAUUUUCGGGAAAACGGGUUUCCGUUUCCACCAGUUCUCAUCAGUCCUGAUCCUUCGUCGACCAAUCGGCUCCCGCCAGCCAACGGUGUCUUGUUCAGGUCAUUUUGUUUGUAUUUAUUUUAUUGUUGCCGAUGAUGUCGUGAAAUAAGUUUUCCUCGUCAAGUCAGGUUUUCUUUCCACGUUUCUUUGUUACAUUGAGUCCUUAGUAUUUGGAUUUGGAGUUUGUCAUCUUGAAAGUCAAAGCAGGUAAAAAAAACCGAGAUGUGUCCUUGAGGUCAUAUUGUUAAAUUACGUCCUUGAUAUCGAAUAGGAAUGAAACCUUUUUUUGAUACAGCUUUUAUAUUGAAUCUCCUCAGAAGUGGCAUGGCUGAGGAGGUAGAGCGGUCAUGUUCUCCGCCAAAGGUUUUACUGUAGGUUCGACCCUCAGCCCCUGCGACCCUGUCGAAGUGUCUUUGAGCAAGCAAAGUUGCUCCCGGUGCUGCGUCAUCAGAAGCCGAACGCGCUUCGAGUCUCUUGAAGCCUCACAAGGGUCGCGGGGAGUGCUGGGUGCCUAUCCCAGCUGUCAACGGGCAGGAGGCGGAGUACACCCCGAACUGGUCGCCAGCCAAUGGCAGGCUGUGUAAGUAUUUUUCAGUAUUUUUUUUACGCAUAUUUUAUUCCCAUUUUAUAUUUUAUCAAUUCAUUUAGUGAUCAUGCUGCUGCUUUUCUCAGUAUGUAAAUUCAAAUCCUGCCCUUGCUUUAUUUGCUUUCAUCUCCACUGAUUUGAGCCGUAAUUCUUAUGAAUAUUUGUCCAAUUCGAUGAAAGACAUUUUCCUCGGAUCCGCGUUGCUUGAGGUUUCUGACACAGAACAAAAGGAGUUUUCAACUCUUUCUUUUUUAAAAAAAUGAAAUUACAUCAAGGACACAAAACUCGUAAGAGAAAAAUAUUCGGCCUCCGCCAACCAAAUCGGGACCAUUGUAUUAUGACCUGGAGACAGGAGCGCUGAAGGGGGGUGUAGGGGUGACCCCCCCCCCCACCCCACCCCACCCCCUUACA